AUCGACAAUUAAAAUCAACCAAUAGGGUUGGUUCUUUCCUCCACGUCGACACUAGCUUGGGCUGAUCUUGGGCUAUUACGUUUUUUUUUUUUAAUAUUUCGUGUUAACGCAUUCAGCCCAACUUCUUUUUUUUCCAUUGUCGUUGUCGAAUGACGAUUGAUAUUUAUGGCUUACUCGGCAAACUCUUGCCCUUCCUCUUCCAAACCAAACAAUUGCAGGCUUUAAAACUAAUGCUUCUUUGUCUCUUUCCAUAUUCUUUCGUUUAGUCUGCCCUCCCUCUCCAUAAUUUUCGUGUUUCCAGUUAUCGAACUCCUAAAAACGCGAUGACGACGACGACUUACAAGGCCAGAUCAAUUAUCUCGCAAGCGAGGUAGGUAUUGUCUGAUCUAUUCACUUAAUUUUCUAUUUAAUAUAUAUCUCUGUUUGUGGCUGAUUCUGUGACUUGAUUUAUCGUCUACAGUCAGCUUCAUCUAUCAAUCUACUUCGUCAGCGUAGGGGAUGAUGAAGAAAAUUUCUUCUGUAGUGGAUUCUUGCUGUGUUUUAAAUCUUGAAUCUUAGUUUCAUGUCUAACCUAUGUUGUUUGUCGUUGUAGGAAGAGCAUGAUUGUUGCAAUGCAUGUGAAGAUGUUUGUAAAGCAUAUAUAAAGACAGUUUGAGGAGUAAUGAAUCCAUAUUUCAUUGACCAGGUGAAUUGCUGAUAAAAAGGUUUCAUUGUUGUUGUAGUAUCACUGAUUGCUUCAUUUCUUUCUUUUUAUAUAUUACACUUGCCUGUUUGAGGUUUUUUUGCAACGAGUAGAGGAUGAAGUAGGUGAAGGGUGUAAAAUAUAUGUGUUCUUGGAGGUGAAUAAAGUUGCGUAAAAGUUCCACUGGUGUAGUUAACCCUCUUGAGAGACAGGUAAUUACAAUUCUGGUAUUAUCCACUCCCACUCCCGUUUAUUUUAUCAUGCUCUCUAGGGGACUUACAUUUUUCAGAGUCCAGUGGAGUGUGAGAAGACUCCCUUGGCGAAGAAGUCGUUAAAUAUUCCGUUGGUGUUGGCUUAUGGACACCAUUCUUACAAGGAAGGUCCAGUUCCAAGAAGUUGAACUGGAAAGAGCAACCAGGCAGCUCAAAGAGGCGUUUCCAAUCGCUAGCCAACAAACGACAAGAUGCGCGGCAGCCCAACGAGUGAUCCAAUCACUCACCACUCAAGUAAUUUCAUAGCUAAAUAAAUAGUAAUAUGAUUUAUGCGAUUACAAGUUUUUCUUAUGUUAUAAACAUCAACAAAAUUAUGGAGCUGGAAGACAUGGCGGAAAGAUUACCAUUUGGAUCAUCUCGAAAUAUAAUGUCUCCUCCGUCUCUUACUAUUUUCUUCCUGCCCUGGUCGUGUUGACCCUUUUAAUAUCUUACACCGACCAAAUGUUCAAGCACCCGAGCAAAAUUAUGCAAAUUCCUGAUGUUUUCUAAUGGGACCAUUACACAUGUAUUUGGAAAUGGUAAAGCAUCGAUUAAAACACAGAACGACAAGGGAUGGUUGAACAGGAUGAGCUUGGUUUCUACAUCAGUCAAACGUGUCCGUUUCAGCCGAAAAAAUUUAAGAGCAAAAUGGGAGGAACAGGGUGGCCAGACAACAUAGGAAGAGUACACGACCAAUACAAUGUAUGAAUUGUUGACAAAGCCAAUGUGGAAAUGCCUCUUUGAAACUCUUUUAACACCAACCACUUCUCUUAUUCUUCCACGCAGGGUCAGGUGAGUGCAGAAUCUUGGGGUAUAAGAAAUAUAUAUAGAGAAAUUAGAUGUUAUAAAAUAUUAUACGUGCUUCUUUCAUUGCAGUUUGGGGGCUGAGAAUGGUGUUUGUUGUGAAAAAAGGUUGUAAAUUCUUUGUGAUGUUCACACUGUAAAUUCUAUAAGCCAAUUCUUUUUAUCUCUGGAAACAAUACCAAGUAAUGGGUCUUACAAUUUCAGGAAGCAAAGAAUCUCUUAGAUUACCACUAGCUCAGGUUGUGUCCUCGCUCUUAUCUUCUCUGAGCUUGAAUUCUACAAUUUAAAAAAGCCAUUGCAAAAGCGAUGAAAUAAGAAUGGUAAUGAAUGGGCGAGUCUGGUGGAGAGGGCCACUGAGUUGAGCACUCCAACAAAUCGGAAAACUUCUCCAUUGGUAUCUAUUUUAUUUCAUCUCAAGUGUUGCUGUUUUUGUCAUCCAGCUUAAGGGAAAAGCAGAGUGAAAUGUGGUCAUGCUGAACAGAUAUAUAGAGGCAAAGAAGGAAAAGCUAAUAGUACCUCUUCUCUAAUAUGAAUUACUUUAUGUUGGUAUUGUAUUUGUAUUGAACCUUUGAACAGUUGCCAUAACUUGAGUAAAUAAAAUUUUUUAAAAGAAUUUACAGAUUAAAUACUCAAAAUAUUUAUACAUACAAAAUAUUUAUAAAAAAAUAUGUAUAUGUGAUAAAGGCUACCUGCUCUGCAAAUGAAUAAUUAUAAAGUUAAAUCAUAUGUUGUAAAACCAAAUAUUUAAUAUACAUAUUGAAUAGUGGGAAAAUUUUAAAAUUUAUUAAAUACAAAUUUUUGAAUUCUCUUAAUGAAAAUUGAAAUAUGACUAAUACAAACACUUCCAGGAUUUACUCGCACUAAAUGGGAUUAACUUAAUUGUUUAUAAGAAAAUUAUCUUAAAUACCAUACUCUUAGUAUCACUAUCUAUGUUUAACUUAACCAUUUUUAUCAUCACUUUUAAAGAGGUAAAAACACUUAUAACUUUAGCGUUAAUUAAUCUAGACUUAAGUUUUAAAAUUGAAAGGUGGGAUAGAAGUUUGGAAUGUGUAGUUUAAGAUUCUAAUAAAUAUAUAAAUAAAUACUUAAUUUUUUUAAAAAAAAAUUAGAAAAAUAGUUUCAAAAAGACUUUUCGAAUUUCAAAAAGAAAAUUUGAAAAAAAAAAUCCCUAAAAAAAAUCAAAA